CGGUGACGCCGAGCGGAACCCGAAAGCCCCUCUCAGUUCGGAUCGGAGUCUGCAACCCGACUCCGUGAAGCUGGAUUCGCUAGUAAUCGCGCAUCAGCCAUGGCGCGGUGAAUACGUUCCCGGGCCUUGUACACACCGCCCGUCAAGCCAUGGGAGCCGGGAGCGCUUGAAGUGCGUCGCCGCGAGGCGCGCCCUAGAGCGAGACCGGUGACUGGGGGCUAAGUCGUAACAAGGUAGC
rnacentral:rRNA from 1 species